UACGUAGGCAGCGAGCGUUGUUCGGAGUUAUUGGGCGUAAAGCGCGUGUAGGCGGCUUUGCAAGUCGGGUGUGAAAGCCCUCAGCUCAACUGAGGAAGUGCGCCCGAAACUGCAGAGCUUGAGUACCGGAGAGGAUGGCGGAAUUCCCCAAGUAGAGGUGAAAUUCGUAGAUAUGGGGAGGAACACCGGUGGCGAAGGCGGCCAUCUGGACGGUCACUGACGCUGAGACGCGAAAGCGUGGGUAGCAAACAGG
rnacentral:rRNA from 1 species